rnacentral:rRNA from 1 species
UACGUAGGGGGCAAGCGUUGUCCGGAUUUAUUGGGUCGUAAAGCGCGCGUAGGCGGCGCGGUAUGUCGUGCGUGAAAUCUCCCGGCUUAACUGGGAGGGGCCGUGCGAAACUGCCGGGCUUGAGGUCGGAAGGGGAAAGUGGAAUUCCGGGUGUAGUGGUGGAAUACGUAGAUAUCCGGAGGAACACCAGCGGCGAAGGCGGCUUCUGGUCCGAUACUGACGCUGAGGUGCGAAAGCGUGGGGAGCGAUCCGG